CUUGCUUCUCUUGAGAGCGGCGGACGGGUGAGUAAUGCCUAGGAAUCUGCCUGGUAGUGGGGGAUAACGUCCGGAAACGGACGCUAAUACCGCAUACGUCCUACGGGAGAAAGCAGGGGACCUUCGGGCCUUGCGCUAUCAGAUGAGCCUAGGUCGGAUUAGCUAGUUGGUGGGGUAAUGGCUCACCAAGGCGACGAUCCGUAACUGGUCUGAGAGGAUGAUCAGUCACACUGGAACUGAGACACGGUCCAGACUCCUACGGGAGGCAGCAGUGGGGAAUAUUGGACAAUGGGCGAAAGCCUGAUCCAGCCAUGCCGCGUGUGUGAAGAAGGUCUUCGGAUUGUAAAGCACUUUAAGUUGGGAGGAAGGGCAGUAAAUUAAUACUUUGCUGUUUUGACGUUACCGACAGAAUAAGCACCGGCUAACUCUGUGCCAGCAGCCGCGGUAAUACAGAGGGUGCAAGCGUUAAUCGGAAUUACUGGGCGUAAAGCGCGCGUAGGUGGUUCGUUAAGUUGGAUGUGAAAUCCCCGGGCUCAACCUGGGAACUGCAUUCAAAACUGACGAGCUAGAGUAUGGUAGAGGGUGGUGGAAUUUCCUGUGUAGCGGUGAAAUGCGUAGAUAUAGGAAGG
rnacentral:rRNA from 1 species